CCAACUGUCAGAGUCCAUCCGCCAUAGAAGCUCACCCGAUAUCCAUCCGCUAUGGAAGCUCGAACGGAGUCUGGUUCUUGUAGAAGGUUGAAAGGAGACCCCUUAUUGUAGAAGCUCGAUCAAAGAUCGGUUGUCGUGGGAGCUCGGGGUAGCGACCUAGCCGGUGGAUCCUGUCCCAUUGUAGAAGCUCGUUUGGGAUCCAGCUACGAAGAAGCUCGGCUGAAGUCUACCUGUAGUAG
rnacentral:lncRNA from 1 species